rnacentral:rRNA from 1 species
AUGGAGUUCGCCGGAGAAGUCGACGACUUCGCUCUCGACCUCAUCCGCGAGCACCUCCUCGGCGGCGACGGCGGUGUCCUCCCGACGGCUAACGAUGAUCAGGGCCCUUUUGGCGACGACGUCACCUUCCCCGUGCUGCCACCUUCUGCGGCCGAGCCGGAAGCGUACCAGCAGCCCAUGUUCUUCCCGCAGCAGGGGCAGCGGCAGGUACAGACGCAAGGUUACAUGGGCCUGACGCACCAGUACGUGAACUCAUAUCCGGCUGCCGCGGCGGUGUUCCGAGCGCCGGAGCCGGUGAUGAUACAGUUCGGUGGCGCGCCGUCUCCUGUGAGGGCGCUGUCGUCCACGCUGACCAUCUCGGUGCCGCCCCAGGGCACCUUCGGGUGGGCGGGGACGGCUGCCGCCGCAGCGCCAGCGCCAGCGCCGGUCGAGGACCUCCGCAAGUACCGCGGCGUCCGGCAGCGGCCAUGGGGCAAGUACGCGGCGGAGAUCCGCGACCCAAAGCGCCGGGGCUACCGCGAGUGGCUCGGCACCUACGACACCUCCGUGGAGGCCGCGCGUGCCUACGACCGUGCCGCCUUCCGGAUGCGCGGCGCCAAGGCCAUUCUUAACUUUCCAAACGAGGUCGGCACCCGCGGCGCCCAGCUGUGGGCGCCGCCGCCUGCUGGCCCGGCGUCCCGGGCAGCAGGCGCGACGAACAAACGUAAGAGAUCACAGGACGAGGACGCUGACGUCGAGGUGACCGGAGUGGUCAUAAACAAGGCCGUGAAGGCCGAGGCGCCGUCGCCGUCGUCGGCCCGGGUGUCGUGGGACACGCCCUCGUCCGUGUCGCGGGGGACAGCGUCUUCGACGGUGACGUCGGUGGCCACGACGCCGGAGGGAGGGUUUCCUCACACGCCGUCGAGCUCGGGCUUGGAGUACUGGGAGGCGCUGAUGGGAGGCAUGCCGUUACUGUCGCCCCUGUCGCCACACCCGGCGUUGGGUUUCCCGCAGCUUAGUGUUAGUUAA